CCGAGUGCGGGCCCUCGCGGCCCAACCUCCCACACUUGUCUAUACACAUGUUGCUUUGGCGGGCCCACCGGGGCCACCUGGUCGCCGGGGGACAUCGUCCCCGGGCCCGCGCCCGCCGAAGCGCCCUGUGAACCCUGAUGAAGAUGGGCUGUCUGAGUACUAUGAAAAUUGUCA
rnacentral:misc_RNA from 1 species